rnacentral:rRNA from 1 species
UACGGAGGGGGUUAGCGUUGUUCGGAAUGACUGGGCGUAAAGCGCGCGUAGGCGGAUCAUCAAGUCGGGGGUGAAAUCCCGGGGCUCAACCCCGGAAUGGCCUUCGAGACUGGUGGUCUUGAGUUCGAGAGAGGCGAGUGGAAUUCCGAGUGUAGAGGUGAAAUUCGUAGAUAUUCGGAAGAACACCAGUGGCGAAGGCGACUCGCUGGACAGACAUUGACGCUGAGGUGCGAAAGCGUGGGGAGCAAACAGG